UAUACCUAUCCCAAGUAACACAAAAGUGCUGCAUAUCAACUGAAUCACUGUCCACGUUGGAAACUUUAGCUCCAAAACAUGCUAUAUUAAAGCUGAAUAAUAUCUGAAUAAUAGCAUCCUCAGAAGAUAUAACUCUGAUUUGGGCACAAAUUAAACAGCAACUAGCUGAUUAACUGCGUUAUAAUAGCAUUUAAUAAGCAUUAAUAAAGGUAACAUUCGCCCCAAGAGCUGAACAUUGGCUGAUAAAGAGAGUGUGUGUUACCUAUUGUGCAGCUCAAACAACAAAUAAGCACCCUUUUUACGCUUUUAUGCAGUUAAAAGAGCACGAGCGGCGAAAUUGUGAAUAAAUAUUACUCCAUAUAUUCUAUAACAUAACACUAUCUCGAUAAUAUUCUGCAGCAGUGUUAUAUUUGUGCACAAAUAUCAUCACCAUCAUACAAUGUGACAUGUGUUGUGUACUUAACUGAAGUGCAAAAAGUUAAUUCAUUUUCGGGUAAUUCCCAAGGGGACUUAUUCGACAUUUGCACUUCAAGUGCAAAUGUAUUCUGCUCUCAGCAAGAGCAACAAGCAGCAGAGCAGCUGGCACAAGUGAUCAGCUCGAAAACCAUGAAGACUCUGAUGGCUAAUCAAGCUUUAAUUUUAGAUAAAUAAAUACCAUUUUUAAGCAAU